rnacentral:rRNA from 1 species
GACGAACGCUGGCGGCGUGCCUAAUACAUGCAAGUAGGACGCAGUUGCGAACGGGUGAGUAACGCGUAGGUAACUACCUAUUAGAGGGGGAUAACUCUUGGAAACGAUAGCUAAUACCGCAUACUAGUAGAUGGACCUGCGUUGUAUUAGCUAGUAGGUAGGGUAAUGGCCUACCUAGGCAACGAUACAUAGCCGACCUGAAGCGGUGUUAGGGCCAACUGGGACGUAGACGAGGCCCAGACUCCUACGGGAGGCAGCAGGAGGGAAUCUUCGGCAAUUGGGGGAACCCUGACCGAGCAACGCCGCGGGAGUGAAGAAGGUUUUCGGAUCGUAAAGAUCUGUUGUUAAGGAAGCGGUACUUAACCAGAAAGGGACGGCUAACUACGUGCCAGCAGCCGCGGUAAUAC